GGGAGAGAUACAAGAAGGAGUCUGACUUUAAAUAUCUGAAUUUUAAAUAUUGCUCAUACAAAACUCCAAUAAACACAAUGGAGGACUAUCGACAAAUUGAAAGAAAAGCAGAAGGAAUUGAAAAAAGAAGAAGAAAAAACGGACCAAAUGUGAGAAAUAGAAAAUAUCAUGAAUAGAAUCUCUGCAAAUCAAAAAUUCAAUCAACACCCUGAAAGGCCAUCGACAAAUUGAAAGAAAAGCAGAAGGAAUGGAAAAAUGAAGAAGAAAAAACGGGCCAAACCUGAGAAAUAGAAAAUAUCAUGAAUAGAAUUAUUGCA